rnacentral:rRNA from 1 species
GGGUUCACCCAUUGGUCAGGCUUAAUUGUCUGCACUGGUGAGAUGAGUCUCUACCUUCUGAGGAACUUUCAUGUCAUUAAUUUGGUGCGCCGGGGAAGCAGGACUGUUACCUUGAAAAAAUUAGAGUGCUUAAAGCAGGCUAUUGCCUGAAUACAUUAGCAUGGAAUAAUGAAAUAGGACAGCAUGGUUCUAUUUUGUUGGUUUCUAGGAUCACCGUA